CAAACUCCAGAGUUCUGUUAUCGGAGCAUUUUACUAUUACAGCAGCUGUAUCAUAUGGACAUUUAAGCUACUUUAAAGAAAAUUAACAAGUAUUAAUGCAAUAAUAAUUAUUUUUAAAUAAAAGUGUAGCUACUUCUUAAUUUGGAAGAACAGAUUCAAGCAGUUUACGUAACAAAAUCCUUGAAACUCUUUUAGAGAGCCUUGAAAUCCAGGAUGGAUACUCACAUUCAGUCCAGACGAUAAUCACGGCCCAGAACAGCAACACUGUGACACUGCAGAGUCCUGCCAUAAUCACAGAGACACGAGAGGAUCACCACAGAGUCCAGACAAUCCAACAGCGCCCCCCGAGGACCCAAAGAUCACAGCAUGCAGCACUGACUGUCAGGCCUGUCUCCUGCACACAGAGAUUUCUCCACAUUUAAUGAAUCUUUUGUGGAUAUUUUUUCCUGUAGAUGCUGAGAGCUUCUUCCCAGUUUUAUGCUGAGAAAUAUUACUUGGAAACUGGUGCAGCUUUUUGCACAGCGGUGAAACUUUAUCCUUCAUUUGCUGGAGACAUUUUCCAAGUUGGGCCAAUUAUUCAUAAAGUGCUCCUCAAUCUGUUUCGUUUUUACUUUUCCAUCAAUUUGUUGAACCUGUCAGAAGUUUGUUGUUUCUGUCAUCUAAUUCAACAUUUUUCAUUAAAUAUUAAAAUAUCUCCGAUCAGACAUUU
ensembl:lncRNA